GCACUGCUGAAGAGUCCCUAAGUAGGAUGAAACGGCCGUCCAGUGC
rnacentral:hammerhead_ribozyme from 1 species